UGGGGAAUAUUGGGCAAUGGGCGCAAGCCUGACCCAGCAACGCCGCGUGAAGGAAGAAGGCUUUCGGGUUGUAAACUUCUUUUAUCAGGGACGAAGCAAGUGACGGUACCUGAUGAAUAAGCCACGGCUAACUACGUGCCAGCAGCCGCGGUAAUACGUAGGUGGCGAGCGUUAUCCGGAUUUACUGGGUGUAAAGGGCGUGUAGGCGGGCUUGCAAGUCAGAUGUGAAAUUCCAGGGCUCAACCCUGGAACUGCAUUUGAAACUGUAGGUCUUGAGUGCUGGAGAGGCGAUCGGAAUUCCGUGUGUAGCGGUGAAAUGCGUAGAUAUGACGGAGGAACACCGAGUGGCGAAGGCGGAUUGCUGGACAGUAACUGACGCUGAGGCGCGAAAGCGUGGGGAGCAAACAGGAUUAGAUACCC
rnacentral:rRNA from 1 species